rnacentral:rRNA from 1 species
UAGCCACGGUAACACCCGCUCCCCGAGUGGUGGGGACGCUUAUUGGGCCUAAAGCAUCCGUAGCCGGCUGGGCAAGUCCCCUGUUAAAAUCCAGCGAUUCAAUCGCUGGACUGCGGGGGAUACUGCCCGGCUAGGGGGCGGGAGAGGCGAGGGGUAUUCCCGGGGUAGGGGUAAAAUCCACUGAUCCCGGGAGGACCACCAGUGGCGAAGGC